UGAUUGUCAACAGUUUUUGCAGGUCCUUCUGACCACUGAAGAAAGGCAACGAGUCCUCCUGGAGGCCCAGAAAAAUGUGCCGGGGCCAGGAGGCCUUCCAACCCAGCUCCCCAACGAAAUAGACGAGGGAUUUCCCCUCACCUGCCCGGACUGGGAUUAUGAGACAGCACCAGACUGACCUGCAGGCCCGGCUAAAAGGACUACAAGCAGUACAGGCCCAAAUCUGGGCCCCCUUGGCAGAACUGUACCGGCCAGGACAUUCGCAGACCAGCCUCCCCUUCUAGGUGGGGGACUCCGUCUACGUUAGACGACACCGUUCUCAAGGACUGGAGCCUCGGUGGAAAGGACCCUACAUUGUUCUCCUGACCACACCCACAGCCAUAAAGGUUGACGGAAUCGCCACUUGGAUCCACACAUCCCACGCCAAGGCUGCUCCAGAGACGCCCGGACCACCUGGGACAUGGAGACUCCGUCGCUCCGAGGACCCCCUCAAGAUAAGACUCACUCGUACCUAACCCUUUACUUACUACUAUCCCUCCUUCCCCGCGUCGCUGA